ACCAGCUCAGUUAUUGACCCGCUCUAUAGAUAUCCGCGGCAGUGCGCGCGCACUGUCUCCCACUAGACGCAGAAUAGACCGGCAGCAAGAUGCCGGCACCUUGCGACUCUUGUAAAAGCACUUGCGGUGGUGGCAAGGCGGCGUGCGGCACCAACUGCACGUGCGGGCCCAGCUGCGCCUGCGGAGAUGGGAAGCCUUCGGGUGACAAGCCCUGCUGCCAGGGAAAGUAAAAUGGCCUUCUAUAUUCUACUAUAAACUACUUAUUUAAAUACUAUUAUAUAGCUAUAGAUAUUAUAAAAGCUUAGAAAAUAAUAUUGGAAACUAUGAUUUGUAUCUAGGUAAUAUUGUGUUGUCAUGAAAUAGAUGGGUAAGAUGUAAGCAUUGGAUUUAAGAUGUAUUUAAAUUAUUUAUUAUAAGUAGAAUAGCUUUUGCUUGUAAGUAAUAUUAUCACAUUCAGUGUUUCUUUUGUAACAUGAGAGGAUAACAAGUACACAUAAUACUCAUUAGUUUAAGCAAAGUUAGCACGCACACAUGCGUAAGUGCUGUGAGUGUAUGAUUAUAGAUGAUAAAUAAAUUAUUGUUAUGCAGAA